rnacentral:lncRNA from 1 species
AUGGCGCUGCGAGUGGUGCGGAGCGUGCGGGCCGUGCUCUGCAGCCUGCACGUGGUCCUGGCACCUGCCGCGCCCUGCCUAUCGAGGCCCUGGCAGCUUGGGAUGGGCGCCGUCUGGUUACUGUAAUCUGCCUGAAGUUGGGACAAAAUUGAACAAACAAGAUGAGUUUGGUGCUUUGGAGAGUGUGAAAGCUGCUAGUGAACUCUAUUCUCCUUUAUCAGGAGAAGUAACCGAAAUUAAUGAAGCUCUUGCAGAAAAUCCAGGACUUGUAAACAAAUCUCGUUAUGAAGAUGGUUGGCUGAUCAAGAUGACACUGAGUAACCCUUCAUAACUAGAUGAACUUAUGAGUGAAGAAGCAUAUGAGAAAUACAUAAAAUCUAUUGAGGAGUGA